AAAAAAUUGUAUUAAAAAUUUUUAUAAAAAUUAAUAAAUUUAAUUAUAGUUUUAAAGUUAAUUUUUAAAUUUUUGUAUAUAUAAAUAUUAGAUGUUUAAUAUAAAAUAAGUAGUAUAUAAAUUUAAUAAAGUUAAAGAUAUUUAAUUUUAGGAAUUUUUAUAAUUUAGAUAAAUAAUUGUGCCAGCAAUCGUGGUUAAACAAUUUAAGUAAAUUAAUUUAAUUAAAUUAAAAUUAAAGGAAUAUUUAUAAAUAAAAUUUAAAUUGUUAGGUGAAAUUAAUUAAUUUAUAAUUAUUAUAUAUUAGUAUAAGUUGAAUUUUUAAAAGAUUUUUUUUAAAACUAGGAUUAGAUACCCUAUUAUAAAAUUUUAAUAAUAUAAUUUAAGUAUUAAAUGAUUAAUCAUUAAAUUUAAAUAAUUUGGCGGUAUUUUAAUUUUAUUAGAGGAAUUUGUUAAUUAAUUGAUAUUACCCGAUAAGAUAAACUUUAAUUAAAUUUUUAUAUUGUUGUUUUAAGAGUAUUUUUGUAAAAAUUAUUUAAUUUUUUUUUUAAAAAAGUUAAUUCAGAUCAAAAUGAAGUGAAUGUUAAAGAGUUAAUGAGUUACAAUAAAUUUAAUUUAAAUGAAUUUAUAAUUUAAAUAUUAUAAUGAAGGCGGAUUUAAAAGUAAAAUAAAAUAAUUAUUUUAUUUGAUUAAAAUUUUAAAAUAUGUACAAAUUGCCCGUCGUUCUCUUUGAAAAAGGAGGUAAGUCGUAACAAAGUAAAAGUACUGGAAAGUGUUUUUAGAU
rnacentral:ncRNA from 1 species